rnacentral:rRNA from 1 species
UACGAAGGGGGCUAGCGUUGCUCGGAAUUACUGGGCGUAAAGGGCGCGUAGGCGGAUAUUUAAGUUAGAGGUGAAAGCCCAGGGCUCAACCCUGGAAUAGCCUUUAAUACUGGAAAUCUUGAGUCCGGGAGAGGUGAGUGGAACUGCGAGUGUAGAGGUGAAAUUCGUAGAUAUUCGCAAGAACACCAGUGGCGAAGGCGGCUCACUGGCCCGGUACUGACGCUGAGGUGCGAAAGCGUGGGGAGCAAACAGG